rnacentral:lncRNA from 1 species
GAGGAGGCUCUUAGGAAAUAAAAAUAAACCUAUGGUCCAUUGCAGGAGCAGCAUGGGAGUCCCAAGAUUCGAAGGCAUCAAAGGACGUGCUGGCAGCAUUGAAAUGGCAGUACUCUGUAGUCAAGCACAUAGAUCUCUCUAGCACUCGGUAUGUAGUCAUCUUCUUGACCUGAAAGAUUAGGUUGUUCUUGGAUGGCUAGAUCUGAUAAGCGAUAUAUGCCAUCCUCUCCCCCUGCCCCACCCCCC